rnacentral:rRNA from 1 species
UGCCAGACUCCUACGGGAGGCAGCAGUGGGGAAUAUUGCACAAUGGGGGAAACCCUGAUGCAGCGACGCCGCGUGAGCGAUGAAGUAUUUCGGUAUGUAAAGCUCUAUCAGCAGGGAAGAAGAUGACGGUACCUGACUAAGAAGCCCCGGCUAACUACGUGCCAGCAGCCGCGGUAAUACGUAGGGGGCAAGCGUUAUCCGGAUUUACUGGGUGUAAAGGGAGCGUAGACGGCGGUGCAAGCCAGAUGUGAAAGCCCGGGGCUCAACCCCGGGACUGCAUUUGGAACUGUAUGGCUGGAGUGUCGGAGAGGCAGGCGGAAUUCCUGGUGUAGCGGUGAAAUGCGUAGAUAUCAGGAGGAACACCAGUGGCGAAGGCGGCUUACUGGACUGUAACUGACGUUGAGGCUCGAAAGCGUGGGGAGCAAACAGGAUUAGAUACCCCGGUAAG